AUUGAACGCUGGCGGCGUGCCUAACACAUGCAAGUCGAUCGGUAACAGGUGUAGCAAUACAUGCUGACGAGAGGCGGACGGGUGAGUAACGCUUGGGAAUCUGCCUUUUUAGUGGGGGACAACCCGGGGAAACUCGGGCUAAUACCGCAUACGCUCUACGGAGGAAAGCCGGGGACCGCAAGGCCUGGCGCUAAUAGAUGAGCCCAAGUCGGAUUAGCUAGUUGGUAGGGUAACGGCCACCAAGGCGACGAUCCGUAGCUGGUCUGAGAGGACGACCAGCCACACUGGGACUGAGACACGGCCCAGACUCCUACGGGAGGCAGCAGUAAGGAAUAUUGCGCAAUGGGCGAAAGCCUGACGCAGCGACGCCGUGUGGGGAUGAAGGUCUUC
rnacentral:rRNA from 1 species